GACGCUGGCGGCGUGCCUAAUACAUGCAAGUCGAACGGUCUUUUCUAUGGAAGCUUGCUUCCACUGAGAAGAUAGUGGCGAACGGGUGAGUAACACGUGGGUAACCUGCCCAUAAGAGGGGGGAUAACAUCCGGAAACGGGUGCUAAUACCGCAUAGUUUUUCUUGAUUGCAUGAUUGAGAAAGGAAAGACGGCCUUUGUGCUGUCGCUUAUGGAUGGACCCGCGGCGUAUUAGUUAGUUGGUGAGGUAACGGCUCACCAAGACGAUGAUACGUAGCCGACCUGAGAGGGUGAUCGGCCACAUUGGGACUGAGACACGGCCCAAACUCCUACGGGAGGCAGCAGUAGGGAAUCUUCCGCAAUGGACGAAAGUCUGACGGAGCAACGCCGCGUGAGUGAAGAAAAGGUUUUCGGAUCGUAAAACUCUGUUGUCAGAGAAGAACAAGUUGGAGAGUAACUGCUCCAGCCUUGACGGUAUCUGACCAGAAAGCCACGGCUAACUACGUGCCAGCAGCCGC
rnacentral:rRNA from 1 species